rnacentral:rRNA from 1 species
GACGAACGCUGGCGGCGUGCUUAACACAUGCAAGUCGAACGGAAAGGCCCUGCUUGCAGGGUACUCGAGUGGCGAACGGGUGAGUAACACGUGGGUGAUCUGCCCUUCACUUCGGGAUAAGCCUGGGAAACUGGGUCUAAUACCGGAUAGGAGCCAUUUUUAGUGUGAUGGUUGGAAAGUUUUUUCGGUGUAGGAUGAGCUCGCGGCCUAUCAGCUUGUUGGUGGGGUAAUGGCCUACCAAGGCGGCGACGGGUAGCCGGCCUGAGAGGGUGGACGGCCACAUUGGGACUGAGAUACGGCCCAGACUCCUACGGGAGGCAGCAGUGGGGAAUAUUGCACAAUGGGCGCAAGCCUGAUGCAGCGACGCCGCGUGGGGGAUGACGGCCUUCGGGUUGUAAACGCCUUUCGCUAGGGACGAAGCUUUUUGUGACGGUACCUAGAUAAGAAGCACCGGCUAACUACGUG